rnacentral:rRNA from 1 species
UAACACGUGGGCAAUCUGCCCUUCACUCUGGGACAAGCCCUGGAAACGGGGUCUAAUACCGGAUAACACUCUGUCCCGCAUGGGACGGGGUUAAAAGCUCCGGCGGUGAAGGAUGAGCCCGCGGCCUAUCAGCUUGUUGGUGGGGUAAUGGCCUACCAAGGCGACGACGGGUAGCCGGCCUGAGAGGGCGACCGGCCACACUGGGACUGAGACACGGCCCAGACUCCUACGGGAGGCAGCAGUGGGGAAUAUUGCACAAUGGGCGAAAGCCUGAUGCAGCGACGCCGCGUGAGGGAUGACGGCCUUCGGGUNUGUAAACCUCUUUCAGCAGGGAAGAAGCGAAAGUGACGGUACCUGCAGAAGAAGCGCCGGCUAACUACGUGCCAGCAGCCGCGGUANNAUACGUAGGGCGCAAGCGUUGUCCGGAAUUAUUGGGCGUAAAGAGCUCGUAGGCGGCUUGUCACGUCGGAUGUGAAAGCCCGGGGCUUAACCCCGGGUCUGCAUUCGAUACGGGCUAGCUAGAGUGUGGUAGGNGGAGAUCGGAAUUCCUGGUGUAGCGGUGAAAUGCGCAGAUAUCAGGAGGAACACCGGUGGCGAAGGCGGAUCUCUGGGCCAUUACUGACGCUGAGGAGCGAAAGCGUGGGGAGCGAACAGGAUUAGAUACCCUGGUAGUCCACGCCGUAAACGUUGGGAACUAGGUGUUGGCGNNACAUUCCACGUCGUCGGUGCCGCAGCUAACGCAUUAAGUUCCCCGCCUGGGGAGUACGGCCGCAAGGCUAAAACUCAAAGGAAUUGACGGGGGCCCGNCACAAGCGGCGGAGCAUGUGGCUUAAUUCGACGCAACGCGAAGA